rnacentral:rRNA from 1 species
GACGAACGCUGGCGGCGUGCUUAACACAUGCAAGUCGAACGGAAAGGCCCUGCUUUUGUGGGGUGCUCGAGUGGCGAACGGGUGAGUAACACGUGAGUAACCUGCCCUUGACUUUGGGAUAACUUCAGGAAACUGGGGCUAAUACCGGAUAGGAGCUCCUGCUGCAUGGUGGGGGUUGGAAAGUUUCGGCGGUUGGGGAUGGACUCGCGGCUUAUCAGCUUGUUGGUGGGGUAGUGGCUUACCAAGGCUUUGACGGGUAGCCGGCCUGGGAGGGUGACCGGCCACAUGGGGAGUGGGAAGCGGCCAAGACCCCUACGGGGGGCAGGGGUGGGAAAUAUGGCAAAAUGGGCGGAGGCCUGAUGCAGGAACGCCGGGUGGGGGAGGACGGCCUUGGGGUGUUAAACCGCUUUCGCCUUUAACGAGGGGUGAGGGCGGGUAAUGGGGAAAAAAGCACCGGCAAACUCGGG